GGCCCGUUCAUCUAGGAGCUAGGACGCCGCCUUCUCAAGGCGGUAACACGAGUUCGAAUCUCGUACGGGCUA
rnacentral:tRNA from 1 species